GGCCGACUAGCUCAGUUGGUUAGAGCGUGGUGCUAAUAUUGCGACGCCAAGGUCGUCGGUUCGAUCCCGGCGUUGGCCA
rnacentral:tRNA from 2 species